rnacentral:rRNA from 1 species
CAAGUCCUCCCACCCCCCACCCCACAUCUAUCCCCGCCCCGCCCGUCCCGGAUCCACACCGCCGCCGCGAUGCCGUCGUUCAAGGCCCCGGCGCCGGGCUUCUCCGUCCGCUUCAGCCCGUUCCACGAGCAUCGCCUCCUUGCGGCCACCUCGCAGCACUUCGGUCUCAUCGGCAACGGCCACCUCCUGGUUCUCGACCUCUCCGCUGCCGGGCCCGGCGGGCCCGGCCUCACCCCGCUCUUCUCCUUCCCCACCUCCGACGCGCUCUUCGACUGCGCGUGGUCCGAGUCCCACGACUCCCUCUGCGCCGCCGCGUCGGGGGACGGCUCCGUGCGGCUCUUCGACGUCACGCUGCCGCCCGCGCAGAACCCCGUCCGCCUCCUCCGGGAGCACGCGCGGGAGGUCCACGGGAUCGACUGGAACCCCGUCCGCCGCGACGCCUUCCUCUCCGCCUCCUGGGACGACACCCUCAAGCUCUGGUCCCCCGACCGCCCCGCCUCCGUCCGCACCUUCCGCGGCCACGAGUACUGCGUCUACGCCGCCGCGUGGUCGGCCCGGCACCCGGACGUCUUCGCGUCGGCGUCCGGCGACCACACGGCCCGCGUCUGGGACGUGCGGGAGCCGGGGCCUACCCUCGUCAUCCCGGCUCACGACCACGAGGUGCUCUCCCUCGACUGGGACAAGUACGACCCGUCCAUCCUGGCCACCGGCUCCGUCGACAAGUCGAUCCGCAUCUGGGACGUCCGCUCGCCGCAGGCGCCCCUCGCCCAGCUCGCGGGGCACGGGUACGCCGUCAAGCGCGUCAAGUUCUCGCCGCACCGGCAGGGCAUGCUCAUGUCCUGCUCCUACGACAUGACGGUCUGCAUGUGGGAUUACCGGAAAGAGGACGCCCUGCUGCAAAGGUACGGCCACCACACCGAGUUCGUAGCCGGGAUCGACAUGAGCGUGCUCACCGACGGGCUGCUCGCCAGCACCGGCUGGGAUGAGAUGAUCUACGUUUGGCCAUUUGGGAGUGAUCCCAGAGCAAUGUAACACAAACAUAUUUUGAUAAUCUGUAUCAUGUCUGUUGAGUCGAUCUUACAUUGGCUGUGAUACAUAUGGAAUGGAAUGGAAUGGAAGUAAACACCUGAGGAAGCACAAGGUUUUCUUUUGGCUUCUGAUCAACAAAAGACUGAAUACUGGAGAGCUUCUUCUGAGGAAACCAGAGACCAUCUUUUCUUCUAAUGUCAUUCUGCAUCAAUUUGCUGGAGAUAUUUAUGUCCUGGUUGGAAUCCUUCUCAGGGCUCGGUUCAGAGCAGCAUUGAGCAUUUCAAAGAUCUGAUAGGUGUGCCUGAUUAUUCAUUUUGACUUGCUGGGCCAUCUGGACUACAUGAAAUGAUUUCAUCUUCCAGAACAGUCAGCCAAGCCUCUACAGACGCAGAAGGAAAUUUAAAGAGGAAAUCAAGCUGCUGGUUCACAGAGCUAAUUGGAAAGCAUACUUUCAGCUUCCAAUUGGGUCUUUGCUUUCCAUUAACUCAGUGGAUUCACUCCUAGAUUAGGUUAUGUUUGGUAUAUACAUAGAGUAGGCUCUCAUUUCUUUUACCUGUAAUUUAUAUGGGGCGUGCUACGAGUCGGUGUUGUUGCGGCAUGAAAUUUUGCAAGAUGGUUGUUGUUGCGG